rnacentral:tRNA from 1 species
AGUUAGGUGGCUGAUUAAAGCGUUAGAUUGUAAAUUUAAUCAUAGGGUUUCUCUCCUCACUA